UGGGGAAUAUUGCACAAUGGGGGAAACCCUGAUGCAGCGACGCCGCGUGAGCGAUGAAGGCUUUCGAGUCGUAAAGCUCUGUCCUAUGGGAAGAUAAUGACGGUACCAUAGAAGAAAGCCCCGGCUAAUUACGUGCCAGCAGCCGCGGUAAUACGUAAGGGGCGAGCGUUGUCCGGAAUUAUUGGGCGUAAAGAGUGCGUAGGCGGCAAAUUAAGUCAGAUGUGAAAACUAAGGGCUCAACCCAUAGAUUGCAUCUGAAACUGAGAUGCUUGAGUCAAGGAGAGGAAAGUGGAAUUCCUAGUGUAGCGGUGGAAUGCGUAGAUAUUAGGAGGAAUACCGGUGGCGAAGGCGACUUUCUGGACUUGAACUGACGCUGAGGCACGAAAGCGUGGGGAGCAAACAGG
rnacentral:rRNA from 1 species